GAAGAUGCACAAUACUUAUUACUUGAUAAAAAUCGAAAAAAGAAAUAUCAGACAAAGCAGUGCAAAAAUUGGAUUAAAAGAUAAUCACAACAAUUUAGCCAAUAGCGAUAGAUGUACAACAUAACUAAUUUUAUCAUACAUAAUCCCUAUUAUCUUAAGCUUGACGCAUAGGGAAGUAGGUCCAGGAGUGGCGGCGCUAUGUAAGAUGUCGAACGGCUAAGUGACCUUGCUGCAAGUUUAUGGGCCUCAUGCGAAUAUGCGCUGUUGGCCUUUGCGUAAUUCCGUUAUUUGUGCCUAGUUGUAGUGUGUGCUAGCCAGCCCCUGCCCCCCAUAAGCUAGGGAUACAAGCCCGCGCUACCGGGCUCGGCA
rnacentral:lncRNA from 1 species